AAAAUAGAAAUUCUCCGCCCAAAGCUCUCUCUCUCACUCUCUCGCCUCUCGCUCGCCGCAGCCAGGAUCGCUCCGCCCCUCCUUCGGCAGCAGCGCUGCAAGCCUGCAGCAGUCGGCCAGCUGCACCGCAACGCCAGCCCGGCAGACGGCAGUCCGCCUCUCCGGCUUCCGCGGCUCUGCCUCAGCGCUUCCGUCCGGCCUUCACUGCAGCAGAAAGCAGGGGGUUUAUUGCUGCAACUGGAAAUUGAGGAUUAUUGCCAUUCAGCUACACUGGUCUGAUAAAUAGUCGAAUUAGGAGUUUCAAAGAUGCUCUCUAGAGUCAUGAUGAGAUUAAAACCAAGUUUAGUUGAUUUUCAAAAGCUUCACAUAUUCCCCAAGGCUUAUAUAGCUUCAUGUUACUCGUGUGGCGCUUAUGGAAGUUUUAUUCAUAGUAAUGGUAAUGAUGGUUCGGGGGCAGAAUCCGAGACUGAGUGGGAGAUAUUGCUUAAAACUUUUGACCUUGAGGAGCUGCGGAAGUCACUCAAUAGAAUCACUCCAUUUCAGCUGAAUAAGUUGCUGCAGCUCCCGUUGGAUGUGCCCACAUCUAUGGAGUUGUUUCAGUGGGCUGGUAGCCAGAAAGGUUAUCGUCAUACUUUUGAUGUGUAUUAUACUCUUGUUGAUAAAAUAGGGUCCGCAAAUGAGUUUAAGACCGUUGAUAGAUUGUUAUUGCAGAUGAAGGAAGAAGGGGUGUCGUUUCAAGAGUCCAUUUUCAUUAUGAUCAUGAGACAUUAUGGAAGAGCUGGUUUGCCUGGUCAAUCGACCAGGUUGCUCUUUGAUAUGAGGAGUUUGUUCUGUUACGAACCCACGUUCAAAUCUUAUAACGUCGUCUUGGAUGUUCUGUUGGCAGGUAAUUGUCCUAAAAUCGCCCCCAACGUAAUUUAUGAUAUGCUGAGCAGGGGUAUAUCUCCUACUGUUUUUACAUUUGCUAGAGUGAUGGAAGCGCUUUGUAUGGUGAAUGAAGUUGAUUCUGCAUGCUCUCUUCUGAGGGACAUGACGAAGCACGGGUGUGUGCCGAACUCAGUAGUGUAUCAGACGCUUAUACACGCGAUGUCUGUUGCUAAUAGAAUUGAUGAUGCUUUGAAGUUGUUGGAAGAGAUGUUUCUCAUGGGUUGUACGCCCGAUGUAAAUACGUUUAAUGAUGUCAUAAUUGGCCUUUGCCGUGUUGUUCGUGUUCAUGAGGCUGCAAAGCUAGUUGAUCGGAUGCUUAUCCGGGGUUUUGCCCCUGAUAAAAUAACUUAUGGAGUUUUAUUGCAAGGGUUGUGCAAAACAGGUCGAGUGGACGAAGCCAGGGUGCUGCUGAAGAAAGUGCCGAAUCCUACUAUUAUCCUAUUCAAUACUUUGAUUAAUGGGUAUGUGACGAAUGGUCGUUUCGAAGAAGCAAAAGCUUUAUUAGAUGAGAAUAUGGUUAGCGCUGGUUUACAUCCAGAUAUCUAUACUUACAACAUUCUUAUUCAAGGGCUUUCCAAGAAGGGGUUAUUAUACUCCGCUCAUCAAUUAGUCGAAGAGAUGUCACUGAAGGGUUGCGAGCCAAAUUUGAUAACUUACACGACUCUGAUUGAUGGUUUCUGCAAAAAAGGCCUCUUGAAGGAAGCUGAAGAUAUUAUGAAUGAGAUGUCGCAUAAGGGUCUUUCCCUAAACACAGUUGGAUAUAACUGUCUAAUCUCUGCGUUAUCUAGGGAUGGACGAGUAGAAGAGUCGUUUGAGCUGUUCCAUGGCAUGCUGAGCAAAGGAUGUAAACCUGACAUUUUUACAUUCAAUUCCUUGAUCUACGGGCUAACUAAGAUUGACAAGAUGGAAGAGGCUCUAUGCAUUUACAGGGAUAUGUUCCUAGAUGGAGUCAUUGCUAAUACCGUAACCUACAAUAUAUUGAUUCAUGCUUUCUUAAGGAGAAGGGCUCUCCAAGAAGCAUUCAAGCUUGUAAACGAUAUGUUAUUUCGAGGAUGUUCUCUUGACGAAUUCACUUACUCGGGCCUCAUAAGAGCACUUUGUGAAGACGGGGCUGUCGAAAAAGCUAUGGGCCUCUUUGAGGAAAUGUUAAGAAAGGGAGUCGCUGCUAGUAGCUUAUCUUGCAAUAUAUUGAUCCAUAGUUUAUGCAGAGCUGGUAAGAUACAGAAUGCAUUCGACGUCCUCAGAGAGAUGGUUUACAGUGGAGUGAAACCCGACAUAGUCACCUAUAACACUCUGAUAAGUGGUCUGUGCAAGAUGCGUCGGAUCCAGGAAGCUUAUAAGUUAUUUGACAAAUUGGAAAAUGAAGGUGUCUGUGCGGAUGCCGUCACUUAUAAUAUCUUGAUUGGUUCUUACUGUAAAGAAGGCUUCUUUGGGGAAGCUUGUACGCUUUUGGAUAGAGGAGUUGCCUGUGGGUUGACACCGGACAUUGUAACGUGGCACAUUCUAGUUUCCAAUAUGUUCAAGAGAGUGCUCAGAAGAAUUGACCGUUCAUCUCGUAUCAGUUGAGCUGGAAGUAUUUGAUUUGGAAACCACGUCGUGUAGGUUAUGUUAUCUUGCUCGAGGAAGAAACGGAGAGUGCUCGGUUGUUCCGCUUGGCUGUUGCAAUACGAAAAGUUGGUUGGAAUAAGCUAAAGAUGAGCCUAUUUUCGUUGGAAUACGCACUCAAGACCAUCCACAGGCAAAGCAUUCAGGUGUUACGGGCUUGGAAGAGAGGUCGAAGAAGUCGAGGCGAGUGGCUCACGUUCCCUUGAUCAAAUGGAUUAAUUUGCCCUUUCAGACAAAUGCCAAGUGGCUGCCGGAGAAGAAAACCAAGCGCAGAACGCCACCAAACAGACCUUCCACCACUCGAAACAUGUCUUCUACGAGCAGGGAUGAAGUCUCCGGCGAAGUCCUAUAUAGUGAUCUUCCUUCAUAAACCACUAUCAAUGUAUAUAUAGGUUUAGCUACAAAACGACCAAACAUCUCCAAAGCUUUGCCUAUGUUUCCCAAAUUAUUAAAACUCUAAGACAGCAUGGCUUUAUAGUUUUCUUGUGUAUAGUUUUUAAAGUUGCUGAAUUUUUUUGUUACGGGUUCUUUUAGUUCGAUAAGCUUAUCCCCCCACCACCAUUUGAAUUUUGUAAUUACAUUUUAAACUUUCGCAUUUGUCUUUAUAUAUUUAGAAUUCUAAUUUGUAUAA